UACAGAGGCCUCGAGCGUUAGGCGGAAUCACUGGGCUUAAAGCGUGUGUAGGUGGAUGCCUAAGUACCUUGUGAAAUCCCACGGCUUAACCGUGGAAUGACUGGGUAUACUGGGUGUCUUGAGCCACUCAGGGGCUACCGGAACAAAUGGUGGAGCGGUGAAAUGCGUAGAUAUCAUUUGGAACGCCAAUGGUGAAAACAGGUAGCUGGGGGUGUGCUGACACUGAGACACGAAAGCCAGGGGAGCAAACGGG
rnacentral:rRNA from 1 species